CCUACGGGAGGCAGCAGUGAGGAAUAUUGGUCAAUGGGCGGGAGCCUGAACCAGCCAAGUCGCGUGAGGGAAGAAGGUCCUGUGUAUUGUAAACCUCUUUUGUCAGGGGACAAAGGCGGCCACGUGUGGCCGUUAGAGGGUACCUGAUGAAAAAGCAUCGGCUAACUCCGUGCCAGCAGCCGCGGUAAUACGGAGGAUGCGAGCGUUAUCCGGAUUUAUUGGGUUUAAAGGGUGCGCAGGCGGCGUGUCAAGUCAGCGGUAAAAUGUCGGGGCUCAACCCCGGACUGCCGUUGAAACUGGCGGGCUUGAGUGGGAGAGAAGUAUGCGGAAUUCGUGGUGUAGCGGUGAAAUGCAUAGAUAUCACGAAGAACCCCGAUUGCGAAGGCAGCAUACCGGACCGACACUGACGCUGAGGCACGAAAGCGUGGGUAUCGAACAGGAUUAGAUACCCGUGUAGUC
rnacentral:rRNA from 1 species